rnacentral:rRNA from 1 species
CGUACUCCGAAUGCUUCGAUGCUNGUAUUGAUCAUGGCUCAGAUAUGACCCGCNGGCGUNUAGUGCCUAACACAUGCAAGUCGAGCGGAUGAGUGGAGCUUGCUCCAUGAUAUCAGCGGCGUGACGGGUGAGUAAUGCCUAGGAAUCUGCCUGGUAGUGGGGGACAACGUUCGAAAGGAACGCUAAUACCUGCAUACGUACCUACGUGUGAGAAAGCAGGGUGACCUUAGUGGCCUAUGCGCUAUACAGAUGAGCCUAGUGUCUGGAUUAGCUAGUAUGUGUGUGUGUGUAAAGUGNCUACCAAUGNGCUGACGAUCCUGUAACUGGUACUGAGAGUGAUGAUCAGUCACACUGGAACUUGAGACACGGUACCAGACUACCUACGUGGAGUGCAGCAGUGGGGAAUAUAUGGACAAUNGGGCGAACAGCCUAGAUACCAGCCAUAGCCGCGUAGUAGUAGAAGAAGGUACUAACGGAUAAGAAAAGGCACUAUUAAAGUAUUGGGAGGAAGGGCAGUAAGUAAAAAUAACCUAUA